rnacentral:rRNA from 1 species
UACGGGGGGGGUAAGCGUUGUUCGGAAUUACUGGGCGUAAAGCGUGCGCAGGCGGUUAUGUAAGACAGAUGUGAAAUCCCCGGGCUCAACCUGGGAACUGCAUUUGUGACUGCAUAGCUAGAGUACGGUAGAGGGGGAUGGAAUUCCGCGUGUAGCAGUGAAAUGCGUAGAUAUGCGGAGGAACACCGAUGGCGAAGGCAAUCCCCUGGACCUGUACUGACGCUCAUGCACGAAAGGCGUGGGGAGCAAACAGG